rnacentral:rRNA from 1 species
UACGGGGGGGCAAGCGUUGUUCGGAAUUACUGGGCGUAAAGGGCUCGUAGGCGGCCAACUAAGUCGGAUGUGAAAUCCCCAGGCUUAACCUGGGAACUGCAUCCGAUACUGGAUGGCUUGAAUCCGGGAGAGGGAUGCGGAAUUCCAGGUGUAGCGGUGAAAUGCGCAGAUAUCAGGAGGAACACCGGUGGCGAAGGCGGGUCUCUGGGCCGAAACUGACGCUGAGGAGCGAAAGCGUGGGGAGCAAACAGG